rnacentral:rRNA from 1 species
CGACGAACUCUGGUAUUGAUUGGUGCUUGCAUCAUGAUUUACAUUUGAGUGAGUGGCGAACUGGUGAGUAACACGUGGGAAACCUGCCCAGAAGCGGGGGAUAACACCUGGAAACAGAUGCUAAUACCGCAUAACAACUUGGACCGCAUGGUCCGAGUUUGAAAGAUGGCUUCGGCUAUCACUUUUGGAUGGUCCCGCGGCGUAUUAGCUAGAUGGUGGGGUAACGGCUCACCAUGGCAAUGAUACGUAGCCGACCUGAGAGGGUAAUCGGCCACAUUGGGACUGAGACACGGCCCAAACUCCUACGGGAGGCAGCAGUAGGGAAUCUUCCACAAUGGACGAAAGUCUGAUGGAGCAACGCCGCGUGAGUGAAGAAGGGUUUCGGCUCGUAAAACUCUGUUGUUAAAGAAGAACAUAUCUGAGAGUAACUGUUCAGGUAUUGACGGUAUUUAACCAGAAAGCCACGGCUAACUACGUGCCAGCAGCCGCGGUAAUACGUAGGUGGCAAGCGUUGUCCGGAUUUAUUGGGCGUAAAGCGAGCGCAGGCGGUUUUUUAAGUCUGAUGUGAAAGCCUUCGGCUCAACCGAAGAAGUGCAUCGGAAACUGGGAAACUUGAGUGCAGAAGAGGACAGU